rnacentral:rRNA from 1 species
AGCAGCCGCGGUAAUUCCAGCUCCAAUAGCGUAUAUUAAAGUUGUUGCAGUUAAAAAGCUCGUAGUUAAAUUUCGGGGUCAGCAGGUUGGUCGUGCCUCUGGUACGCACUGGUUUCGCUGAUUCCUCCUUUCUGAAGAACCGUAAUGUCAUUAAUUUGGUGUUGCAGGGAAACAGGACUGUUACUUUGAAAAAAUUAGAGUGUUUAAAGCAAGCUAACGCUUGAAUACAUUAGCAUGGAAUAAUGAAAUAGGACGUUUGAUCCUAUUUUGUUGGUUUCUAGGAUUGACGUAAUGAUUAAUAGGGAUAGUUGGGGGCAUUAGUAUUCAAUUGUCAGAGGUGAAAUUCUUGGAUUUAUUGAAGACCAACUACUGCGAAAGCAUUUGCCAAGGAUGUUUUCAUUAAUCAAGAACGAAAGUUAGGGGAUCGAAGACGAUCAGAUACCGUCGUAGUCUUAACCAUAAACUAUGCCGACUAGGGAUCGGAUGAUGUUAAUUUUUUAAUGACUCA